CCAAUAGCGUAUAUUAAAGUUGUUGCAGUUAAAAAGCUCGUAGUUGAAUUUUGGGUCUGGCCGGGCGGUCCGCCCUCUGGGUGAGCACUGUUCCGACGUCGGGCCUAUCCUUCUGGUGAGUCGGCAUGUCCUUUAUUGGGUGUGUCGGGGAACCAGGACCAUUACCUUGAAAAAAUUAGAGUGUUCAAAGCAGGCGUAUGCUCGGAUACAUUAGCAUGGAAUAAUGAAAUAGGACGCGUGGUGCUAUUUUGUUGGUUUCUAGAACCGCCGUAAUGAUUAAUAGGGAUAGUUGGGGGCAUUAGUAUUCAAUUGUCAGAGGUGAAAUUCUUGGAUUUAGUGAAGACUAACUUCUGCGAAAGCAUUUGCCAAGGAUGUUUUCAUUAAUCAAGAACGAAAGUUAGGGGAUCGAAGACGAUCAGAUACCGUCGUAGUCUUAACCAUAAACUAUGCCGACUAGGAAUCGGGCGAUGUUAUUCUCAUGACUCGCCCGGCGCCUUAUG
rnacentral:rRNA from 1 species